CCUACGGGAGGCACAGUAGGGAAUCUUCCGCAAUGGACGAAAGUCUGACGGAGCAACGCCGCGUGAACGAUGAAGGCCUUCGGGUCGUAAAGUUCUGUUGUUAGGGAAGAACAAGUGCUAGUUGAAUAAGCUGGCACCUUGACGGUACCUAACCAGAAAGCCACGGCUAACUACGUGCCAGCAGCCGCGGUAAUACGUAGGUGGCAAGCGUUGUCCGGAAUUAUUGGGCGUAAAGCGCGCGCAGGCGGUUUCUUAAGUCUGAUGUGAAAGCCCCCGGCUCAACCGGGGAGGGUCAUUGGAAACUGGGAAACUUGAGUGCAGAAGAGGAAAGUGGAAUUCCAAGUGUAGCGGUGAAAUGCGUAGAGAUUUGGAGGAACACCAGUGGCGAAGGCGACUUUCUGGUCUGUAACUGACGCUGAGGCGCGAAAGCGUGGGGAGCAAACAGGAUUAGAUACCCUGGUAGUCCACGCUGUAAACGAUGAGUGCUAAGUGUUAGAGGGUUUCCGCCCUUUAGUGCUGAAGUUAACGCAUUAAGCACUCCGCCUGGGGAGUACGGUCGCAAGACUAAAACUCAAAGGAAUUGACGGCUAGAGACGUCGACGAAGCACGACGGAGGGUAGAGG
rnacentral:rRNA from 1 species